rnacentral:rRNA from 1 species
UACGUAGGUGGCAAGCGUUGUCCGGAUUUACUGGGCGUAAAGAGCGCGCAGGCGGUCGGAUAAGUCGAAUGUGAAAGCCCCCGGCUCAACUGGGGAGGGUCAUUCGAUACUGUUCGACUCGAAGGCAGGAGGGGGAAGUGGAAUUCCCGGUGUAGUGGUGAAAUGCGUAGAUAUGUGGAGGAACACCGAUGGCGAAGGCAGCCCCCUGGGCUAACACUGACGCUCAGGCACGAAAGCGUGGGGAGCAAACAGG